GGCUGGCACCGCUGCCAGGCAGAUAGGAUUCUGCACCCUAAUUCACCUUACCUUUUUAACAGGCGCUGCUCAGCCCUUGGAUUCAGUCAUCCCACAGACCAUCGCUUUCUGGCUUUUCUUCUUUUAGAGUGGCUGCUUGUCACGAUACUGCCUUCCUUGCUUUAGCCAAA
rfam:Rhinolophus ferrumequinum clone VMRC7-305L23, complete sequence.